UACAGAGGUCUCAAGCGUUGUUCGGAUUCAUUGGGCGUAAAGGGUGCGUAGGCGGCGCGGUAAGUCGGGUGUGAAAUCUCGGAGCUUAACUCCGAAACUGCAUUCGAUACUGCCGUGCUUGAGGACUGGAGAGGAGACUGGAAUUUACGGUGUAGCGGUGAAAUGCGUAGAUAUCGUAAGGAAGACCAGUGGCGAAGGCGGCUCUCUGGGACGGUACUGACGCUGAGACGCGAAAGCGUGGGGAGCAAACAGG
rnacentral:rRNA from 1 species